rnacentral:ncRNA from 1 species
UAUAGGCUUGGUCCUGGCCUUUCUAUUAGUUAUUAGUAAACUUAUACAUGCAAGAAUCCUCGGCCCAGUGAAAAUGCCCUUUAAUCCCCUAUAAGUAAUAAAGGAGCUGGUAUCAGGCACGCUAAACUAGCAGCCCAAAACACCUUGCCCAGCCACGCCCCCACGGGAAACAGCAGUGACAAACAUUAAGCAAUAAAUGAAAGUCUGACUAAGUUAUACUACUAAGGACUGGUAAAUUUCGUGCCAGCCACCGCGGUCAUACGAUUAGGCCAAACUAAUAGAUAUGCGGCGUAAAGAGUGUUUUAGAGUUUUAACAAACAAUAAAGUUAAACAAUAAUUAAGCUGUAAAAAGCCCUAGCUAUUGUAAAAUACAUGACGAAAGUGACUUUAAAAAACUGACUACACGGUAGCUAAGACCCAAACUGGGAUUAGAUACCCCACUAUGCUUAGCCCUAAACAUAAGUAAUUAUAAACAAAAAUACUCGCCAGAGUACUACCAGCAAGAGCUAGAAACUCAAAGGACUUGGCGGUGCCUUAUAUCCUUCUAGAGGAGCCUGUUCUAUAAUCGAUAAACCCCGAUAUACCUCACCAAUCCUUGCUAAAUCAGCCUAUAUACCGCCAUCUCCAGCAAACCCUAAAAAGGAAAUAUAGUAAGCACAAAUAUUAACAUAAAAACGUUAGGUCAAGGUGUAGCCAAUGGGUUGGGAAGCAAUGGGCUACAUUCCUCGAACCAAGGAAAACUCACGAAAACCUAUGUGAAAUCAAAAGUUAAAGGUGGAUUUAGUAGUAAAUUAAGAAUAGAGCGCUUAAUUGAAUAAGGCCAUGAGGCACGCACACACCGCCCGUCACCCUCCUCAAGUAAAAAUAUUAAAUAUUUCAUAAAUCCCAGAAUAUUAACUUAUGAGAGGAGACAAGUCGUAACAAGGUAAGUGUACUGGAAAGUGCACUUGGACAAC